CCGCUCCUCACAUCCCUUCUCCAACCAGGGCAAAGAAGACGUGGGAUCAGAACCUGCGGGCGGUAAACCAAGCCCACAGCUCUCACACUGUUUGGGGGUUUCACCGUGUUAGCCAGGAUGGUCUCAAUCUCCUGACCUCAUGAUCGGCCCGCCUCGGCCUCCCAAAGUGCUGGGAUUACAGGCGUGAGCCACUGCGCCUGGCCCCAAAUUCUUCUAUGAAACAAACCUUCACAGUCCACUGAGCUGGUGUGGUUCAAAGUGCCAUCAAGGGUGGUAAGAAUGAUUGAACUCUGAUGACCAGAUGAUUUUCCUGCUCCAAAGCUCCCUUGCCAGGACACCCUCAAGCAAGAAUUGCCCUCCUGAGCAGGGCUUCCUGAGGCCAGAUGUGGAGGCUUUUCUUCAGAAAUCUCCUGGUCAGCCAUGAAUAAUCACUACUGUGCAAGAGGAUGAGCUCCGGCCUCUCUUAGUCACCUUUGAGUCCAUCUCAGCUACUGAAAUGUCUGUCCUAUGGAGUGGGAGGCUACCCGGAUGAGAAGAGGAAUAGAAACAGCACAAGGACCACGUGAACUCUCCCGUACUGAACCAUAGUACAGGUCCUACAGGGAAGUUUGCCUUGUUUCCGACCCCACUCCUGAAUGUAUGACAGGCAUUUGCUGAGAACAAAGGCUACCAUUAGGCAUCGCGGCUGAUGCUGUGAGAGUCUAAAGGAUACACUUUCUACCAGGAGGCUUUCCGCCUAGGAAAGGGGAGACAUGAAUCUAAAUGCACUAGAUGAGAGAGCUGUGUAGAUGCGCGUCUUCCUCACUGGUCUCAGUCAUUUUUUAACCUCCCGCUUACCCACAGUACUGCACCUGGCAUGCAGAUGAUGCUCCCAUAAUGUUUGGUAAGCAUUACAUGCAAAAUACAAAAGACAGUUCAUAGGAGGAAGAGAAUGUGUACAUGUAAUUGCGGUGCAUUGGGGCCCAUUUAUAACAGGGUUUCUCAAGAGUGGCACUGUCAACAUCUGGGGACAGGUAAUUCUUUAUUGUGGGGGCCGUCCUGGCUCUUGUAGGAUCUUUAGCAGUAUCCCUGGCCUCUCUGCACUGGAUACCAGGAGCGCUCAGCCAUGAUAAUUGAAAGUGUCUGCAGCCAUUGCCAGAUAUUCCCAGAGAUAACGUCACCCCCACUGAGAAUCACUAGGUUAUAGCUUUUGUGUCAUCCCACUGUCCAAUCCUCCUGCCAGGGUCCUGUGUUCUGAGGUUUUUCUAUUCCAUUUCUAAGAAAAUUAUGCUUCCUAAAAUCUGUGACCUCAGAACUUUAUUCUCUGUUUUUCAAAAUGUUGAUCAAGUCAUGCAAUAGUGAAUUCAAAUGAAACUGGUUAACGGAAAAAGAUACUAGUAGUUCCCUCACCCACAUUCAUCUCCAGAAUCCAUUUGUCACUGGAACAUCUGAAUAGGGCCACUUGGAAGCAGCCCCAUGACAUAUUAACAUCCUACAACAUAAACACCCAGAUGGCACAAGGGAGGCCCCCACACCAACACUUCACAAGAGCCGCCCCAACCAGCCACUGAGCACAGGAGCUUCGGCUUACAAAAGGCAGCUUACUCCCACCUACCAGGAUCACAGAGCAUGGCAGAGUGGCCUAGUCACCUUUGAAAGAUUGCCUACUCUGUCCAAGAUCUAAAAGCCAUUGCUUAGAAUGGUGACAGUUUUAGGUUACAUCCAAAUCUGGAUCUGAAACCACUUUCCAAGUGUCUGUGUGUCCCCACCUCCUGCUGCAAGGGCUGCCUCAAGAUGGGAUGCAGGGUACAUGACCUAAACGCCCAAAACCCCAGUAAGCAUUUCUCAUUGAGAUCCACCUGCUGGCCCUUCUUAAGGGACAGAGCAAGCGAGUGGAGAGAAAGCCCAGGGACUCGGGUCACCUGCAGAAAUGACAAUCAGGAAAGCCGUGAGCCGGUUCCCCCACUGGGGCAUAUUCUGCUUUCUCCUCUUGCCUGAGUUGACUGUGACACGAAGACAUUCCUCAGACCCAGUCCCAGUUACCAGAGGUGAGUCAGCUCAGCCCAACAAUCCCAAUUCAAUGCUUAUUCACAAAUUGUAAUUUUAGUACAAUAGGGCACAGCUUUAAAUAAGAGCUAUGAGAAACCCACCCACCUAUGACAUGGCAGUGGGCUGCUCAUCUCCCCACUCUGGGUGGACAUUCUGUUAGUCAUAGAGGAGCAUCUGGGCCCAGCUCACUUGUCUCCCCACUUUCUUGUAUCUCCAGACAUUUUACCAAACAGACACUGAGUCAGAAUAAGUAGGUUUAGCAAUUAAAAUCUGCGUGGAGGCUGCCUUCAGAAGCAUUUGGAGGAUUUGGAAAUAAAUAUUCCUCCACUGCAAAUCAAACACUCAUUGUAAAAACCUGAAUGUAAUAUGCAUGAAGACAAACUCGAGCUGAAAUCUCAUGACAUAAUCUUUUUCUCCUUCAACGAGGAACAUAAAGGACUUCCAUUCGCUUGCAGGGCAGGCUGAAUAAUUCAGAGUAGAAGCAGAAUGGUCUCUAAGUACAAGAAGCAGUGAGAUCCUGUCAAAGGAAGCAUCUACCUGGUUCUGAACACAGAAAUUUCCAUUGGAAACACUGUGCAGACAAGGAAUGCCCCUAGACGACACCCUAUCACACUAAAGCCGGGGUGUUGAAAUGAGGCAGAGUCAGGUAGUCUGAACACACCCGAUUUCUGGUCAAUGCUUCCUUCAGCCUCAGAGAGGAAGUCAAGAGCUAGAUGUUUCUGUAUUUUGGCCAACCCUACAAGGCCAGCUGGAGAAGGCCCCCUGCAGCAUCUCAUCCCAGAUGGAAGGAAAGGCACCCGAGCCACCAAGCCUGACAUCAUGCCAGGAAGAUGGUCCUUCAGGAUGGGUCAUCUUUGUCCUCUCCAGGCCUGUUGUGGGAGCUGUGAGCCUCCUGGACCUGCUGGACCGCUCUAACAGGAGGUGGUUAGAGCCCCAGCUUAAUAUGGCCAAGGUUUGUCUUCCAUUUACAUGAGGAUCACUGGAUAUCCCCCUUUUAUAAAGUUCCUGGAUUACACACUGCACCUCCCACCCCUGGUAGCUGGUGCAAACAUCUGCCACCCAGGAUCCAUGCAGAUCCAGUCUCACACACAUGCAUACACACACACACACACACACACACACACACACAACCUAAAAGCAUCAUUCCCAGAGCCAGAGCCUGCCACAGCCUCCUACAGGCAGCCCAGCUCCUGUUCAAGGUGAGGUCUAAGAGUUCCCAGCAGAACAGGGCCUGUCCCAAGGACAUGAGCUAUAACAAAGCCAAAUUGUUUCACACUCUAGUCUUGACUAAGGAGCUCUCAUUUUUCCAUCUGGAUGUCCAAAGCCACACUGCAGGCUGGCAGUGGAUCCAGGCUAGAAUGGACUUCUACUCUGAACGUAAGACACUGUUUCCAUCAUUCAUUAUGAGAUACAAAAUCUACAUUCAAAUGUCUCAGUCUGUAAAACUCCAGGCUAGUGGUUCUUAGCAUUUUUAGGGUCACAGACUCCACUGAGAAAUUGAUAAAAACCAAAGACUCUUUGCCUGGUCAAAUGUACUUUCACAUAAAAUUGAUGGCACAGUUUUAGGGCUUAAAAGAAGCCCUGAAAACCAUCCAUAAAUGACUAAAAGCCUCUUCCCUGGUCACUGGAUUGUAAAGCAAGAGGGCACUUCCUAACCACUUUGCACCUGCCCAACUUCAGGUAAUCUCAGUUAAAACGUCUCUUGUGUUAGGGUAAAGCACCAGUAUUUCCUGGACUGGUCAAGAGUUAAGCCUGCAAGUAGCAGAAACUUCCUGGCUCACUUCUAUGUGCUGGCAAUGGGCAACAUCUCUCAGCAGCUAUGAUUUUUUUUUUUUUUUUUUUGAGACGGAGUCUCCCUCUGUCGCCCAGGCUGGAGUGCAGUGGUGCCAUCUCAGCUCACUGCAAGCUCCGCCUCCCGGGUUCACGCCAUUCUUCUGCCUCAGGAGCGAGUAGCUGGGACUACAGGCGCCCGCCACUACGCCCGGCUAAUUUUUUGUAUUUUUAGUAGAGACGGGGUUUCCCGUGUUAGCCAGGAUGGUCUCGAUUUCCUGACCUCGUGAUCCGCCAGCCUUGGCCUCCCAAAGUGCUGGGAUUACAGGCGUGAGCCACCGCACCCGGCCUGCAGCUAUGAUUUGUUGAGCGGUUACUACAUGCCAGGCCCAAAGCAGGGCUCCCAUGCAUUUUUGUCCUUUAACCCUUAAAAUUACCCUAUAAUUGCAGGAUCAAUGUUUCCAUUUUACAGAUGAGGGCAUUAAGGCUCAGAGAGGUGAAGUGCCCUUCUCAAGAAGUCCUGCAAGCUGCAAGUAUGCCUGCCAACGCACUAAGGGCCCAUCAAUUGCACCAGGCAUGGUCAGCCCGAGCAAAUGCCUUCCUCUAAAUUAGUAGGACUGGGCUAAAAUCCCAGAGUACUUGGUGAGAGAGUUGCUAAAAAUUUUGACUGUUUGCAAACUGGGAUUGUCUUCAUUUUUAUUUGCCUUUGGACUUCCUGUUUAGAGAUGAAAACAAGCACAGAAUUUUCCGGAGGCCUACUCUUUCUGAAUUUGUAAUAGAACUACAAAAAGAACACUAAUUUCAAGGAAGCCUCCAUCUCCUCUUAUAGAUAAGAUGUGUGUGUGAUGAAUGAAAACAAAAACUUAGCUCAGUGUGGAAGUUGAUCAUCAAUAAUGACAUCAACUCAGCUUUAGUCACAUUUAAAAAAAACUAGGAGUCUAACAACUGCAUUUUAAAAUAACAGUGACUGAACAAGCUUGGUAAGUAAGAUCAUUAGACAGACAUUUAGAGAGUGACUUAGCCCUAUGCCUGGCACUGUUCUAUGCCCUGGCAAUGCAGAGGUGGUAAGGCAAGGUCCUCUCCACAGCAAACUCAUCAUUAGCAGGGGAGGUGGGGAAGACAUGUGAUUAACUGGAAUAACAAUGUGUUAACUGCUUUACCAGUGAUUUGACUGAGGUGCCAAAGGCCAGAGAGCAGGAAGUGAGUAAUGCUGGGGAAAGGAGAGGAAAGGCCUCAGAGGCUCAGGGAAGGUCUCAGGAGGUCAGGGAAGGAAGAAGAAGAUCUCUCCAAGUCCAGAAGGGCACUGUGGAUGGAGGACACAGCGUCAAUGGGAACCAGAGGGAAACUCAUUAGAGACGAGAGCUGGCUGAGGUGCAGGCUCCAUGUGUGGCAGGAGGAGAUACAGGAUGGGAGCCAGAAUAGGAAGGCGGUAGCCACAUGCUGAAGGCCUUGGUGGCUGGGCAGUGGCUCACACCUGUAAUUCCAACACUUUAGGAGGCCGAGGCAAGAGGAUUGCUCAAGCCCGGGAGUUCUAGGCUACGGUGCACCACGCCGAUCAGGUAUCUACAGUAGGUUUGUCAUCAAUAUGGUGACCUCCCUGGAGCAGGGGACCACCAGGUUGCCUAGGCAGAGUGUACCAGGCCAGGUCAGAAACUAAGCAGGUCAAAACUCCCAUGCUGAUCAGUAGUGGGAUCAUGCCUGUGAAUAGCCACUGCACUCCAGCCUGGGCAACAUGGUGAAAUCCCAUCUCAAAAAAAAAAAAAAAAGGCCUUGGUCAACUAUGAGGAGUCACCAAGAGGUUUUUUUUUUUUUAAUGGAGAAAGGACUCAGUGACAUUUAUAUGGUAGAAAGAUAGCUGUGGCAGACGCAUGAAAGGUAGAAUUUACCUGGGAGAAACCGUAAGCAAAAAAAUGGAAGAGAAAGUCUCUGCAAUUACUUUAAGCCAAGGACGAGGAAGGCUGGAUUCCAGAUAUUCAAAAACAAACAUUCCCACAGCAAACCAGCAGGGUCAGAUGGUGACAGGGAAGGCACAAAGCAGAAAAAGAAAUGCCUCCGAGGUUUCUAAGUGGAGCCGUCAGUCAACGAUGAUGCCGGUCAGAGAAAGGAAGCCCAGGAAGAAGAGCCAGUCCCGAGGUAAGGAGACAACAAGAUGAUGAGCUGUGUUUUGGACAGGUUGAUUUUGAGGUGGCCAAAGGAGAGUAGGUAAAUCGUCUGCAGAUGACAGCUUUAGAAGAUUAUAAGCAUAAAGCAUGAAGAAAAAGAGACAAGAACUAAGGAUAGAAGCUUAGGAAUAUUAAUUUUAAAAAGGAAUUGAAGGAGAGAAGAGCUAGCAAAAGAUACUGAGUAUGAACAGUUGAACCUGGGCUGUGGUCAAGACACCUUCCAAGAAGUCAAAUACCAAAAGCCACAGAGAGGUAAGGGAGAAUAAGACCCAAAAGGAAGGCCCUCAAUCAGGCUGUUAGAAGUUCCUUACUGCGUUUUCAAUUUCAGCAGAACCUUACGGGAUUUGGGAAUGGAAGCCGAAAGUUGAUACUACUCUUUGAAGAAUUUUAACCAAGGAUGGAAGAAAAGAGAUCAUCCACCCUCGUGACAAAGCCUUCCUUUGUCAUGGAGGGAGUGUGUGACCUAUUACAUGCCAGACCAUGUAACCUCACCAGCCUCAUCACGUCACGCCUGUGUUUGAGUGAGGCAGGUGAAGAGGGACAUGCCUAUACUGUGGCUAACGUCCAGAACUGGCUAAUGAUCCUCAUUGCUAGUACCGCCAAGUAUUCAUAGUUCAGGACUUAAAUUGUCCUAGAAAAUGUAGGGUAAAGACUACUGCUCAACAUUCCAGUGAGAGGCUGAGACUUCAGUGGCCCAUCGGAAGAGGAGACCUAUUUACUAAGAAAACACAAAACCAGGCCAGGUGCAGUGGCUCAUGCCUGUAAUCCCAGCACUUUGGGAGAUCAAGGCAGGAGACUGUUUGAGCCCAGAAGUUCAAGACCAGCCUGGGCAACAUAGUGAGACCCCAGUUUCUGCAAAAAAAAAAAAUAAUUUUUUAAAUUAGCUGGGCAUGCUGGCAUGCACCUGUAGUCCCAGCUACUCAGGAGGCUGAGGCAGGAGGAUCAUUUGAGCCCAGGAGAUCGAGGCUGUAGUGAGCUAUGAUUGUCCCACUGCACUCCAGCCUGAGUAACAGAGUGAGACUUCACCCAAACCAAAAAAUAAAAAUAAAAAGAAGAGAAAACAUAAAACCAACAGUGCAAGUGGCAAAUAUACUGCUGUUGAUAAUUUUGGUAAUACCAAGUUGAAGGUUCCAGGAAGCAAGCAUUUUCAGACACCACCGGUGAGGAUUUACAGUAGCACAACUUAUCAACAAGUAACUCAAAAAAAAGGGGAAGAAAAACCUAAAAGAUUGCAGACACUGUAGCCCAGCGAUUCAACGUACACAAACUUAUUCUAUAAAAGUCACAAGGAUAUCUGCAAAGAUUUAUCUACAAGCAUAUUUAUCAUAACUUUGUUUAUAAGAGUUUAAAACUGGAAACAAUGUAAAUUUCCAACAACAGGAAAUUAGUUAAACACAUUGUUAUACAUCUCCAUAGGAUACAAUACUCGGCAACCAUUUAAAAUGUUAAGUAGGCUGAGCAUGGUGGCUCAUGCCUAUAAUCCCACCAUUUUGGGAGGCCAAGGCGGGAGGAUCACUUGAGCUCAAGGGCUUGAGACCAGCCUGGACAACAUAGUGAAACCUCAUCUCUGCAAAAGAAUUUUUAAAAAUUAGUCAGGCAUUGUAAUCUCAGCUACUUGGGAGACUGAAGCAGGAGAAUCACUUGAACCUAGGAGGUGGAGGUUACAGUGAGCCAAGAUCACGCCACUGCACUCCAGCCUGGGCGACAGAGUGAGACUGGGUCUCAAAAAAAAAAAAUUAGUCAGGCGUGGUAGUGCACACUUAUAGUCCCAGCUACUCAGGAGGCUGAGGUAGGAGGAUCACUUGUGCCCAGGAUGUUAAUGAGCAGUGAAUGCAUCACUGCACUCCAGCCUGGGUGACAAAGUGAGACCCUGUCUCAAAAUAAAAUAAAAUAAAAUGUUAAACAGGCAACUAUUUAGCAACCCAGAAAAAACGGUCACAUUAUAUUAUUAAAUUUUAAAAAAUAGUUCACAAAAGAUAAUGAGUACAUUAAAUAUGUAUAUAUAUAUACACACAUGCACUCAUACACACUCAGACAAAAGACUAGAAGAAUGGACACCAAAAUAGUAACACAUUCAAAUGAAAGAGGAAGAAUAUGCACCAAAAUAGUAACAGUAUCUAAAUUUCUGGAUGGCACAAUAAUGGGUGGUUUUAAUUUACUUUUUGCUUCUCCGUAUUUUCCAAAAUAUUUAUAAGAAACACUCUAUAGCUUUGGUAAUUAAAAAUAGUCUGUUAUUUU
rnacentral:lncRNA from 1 species